GGGUGUGGGAAGAGGUCAAAACGAAAGGGCCGGGAAGCACGGCCCCCGCGGGGAAUCCUAGUCCAGUUCUGGGCGUGGCAUCAUUCUCCCACCACCACCUAGUUCCCACCCCCUCACUGCCUCGCGUUCACUUCCCCUCAGGGACGCAUCCGCCUUCCAAGUUCACGUCGCACCUUUUUGCGCAAGGGACUUCCUCCAGGCCAGGCCAUCCUGCUCUGUGCUGGGUGUCCCUGUGAGCGGCCAGCAGAAGCCGAGUGAAGCGCAUGCCAGUUUGGACUCUGGGAACUCACCGCUCUCGGGUUAACGGAACCUACCUCUGGGGGCACCACAGUGCUUCUCGGAGUAUUGUAAAAACCUCUUCUCCCUUCCUAGACUCAACAACUCUGUGCACCAGCCAGUUUCCCGUCCUCUGAGAUGUCUGACUCCUCCUGGUCUUACAGGUUAACUUACUUGGUGAUCAGAAGUGGGAUGCGAAGAAGACCCCCAGCAACUCGGAGGCUGGUGAACAAACCCGACAGCACCCACAGAGCCAAUUGGGCUCACUGCUUUCUCGCUGACCCUGGAGUUUGCGGUCCUAAAUCCAACAACCGGUGUCCUUAUAAGAGGCAGAAGAGGAGAAGAUGCAAACUAUAGAGAAGGCCAUGGCCAUGUGAAAACAGAGAUAAAAGAAGCCACAAGCCAAGGAAUGUCUAAAGCCAUCAGAAGCUGCAAGGGGUCAGAGCCCACUCCCAUAAGAUCUGACACAACCUUCAAAAUCUUGAAGUUCCUACACCUGCAUAACUGGGACAAGAUUGGGAUGUUCUUGAGGAUGACAGCAGCCCUAGAUAUGACCCCAACCAGGAUUCCCAGUGUAACCAGAGCAUGGGACACCAUGUUGUGGUAUGACCUCUGUGAGAUGGCCACAGAAUCUGAAGGUUUUUCACUUGCAUAAAGUCCAGACCCCUUCUUGCCCUGUAAGAAUCUGCCCAGGUGGGAAGACCUCCUUGUUCUCAUAACCCUUUGGUCUCUAGUCUGGCUUCAGAAUCUACUCUUCAUCAUUCUGCUGUCCUGCUUCUCACAAAUGAGCAAAUAUGGCACCGACUUGCAUUAAAACACCACUGUUGCUGGUACAUAGUGAAUUUUCUGUACUUGAGUCCUACCUUGAGUCAAGAUACAACACAUAAAACAACUACCUUAUGGUGUUAAAGAAAUUUAGUUAUUUUGAGGGGGCACCUAGAUGACUCAGUUGGUUAAGCAUCCAACUCUUGAGUUAGGCUCAGGUCAUGAUCUCCUGGUUGUGAGAUCAAGCCCCAUAUUGGGCUUCUCACAGGGCAUGGAGCCUGCUUAAGCUUCUCUC